rnacentral:rRNA from 1 species
AUUGAACGCUGGCGGCAUGCUUUACACAUGCAAGUCGAACGGUAACAGGUUAAGCUGACGAGUGGCGAACGGGUGAGUAAUGCAUCGGAACGUGCCCGGUCGUGGGGGAUAACACUUCGAAAGAAGUGCUAAUACCGCAUACGACCUGAGGAUGAAAGCGGGGGACCGUAAGGCCUCGCGCGAUCGGAGCGGCCGAUGUCAGAUUAGGUAGUUGGUGGGGUAAAGGCUCACCAAGCCGACGAUCUGUAGCUGGUCUGAGAGGACGACCAGCCACACUGGGACUGAGACACGGCCCAGACUCCUACGGGAGGCAGCAGUGGGGAAUUUUGGACAAUGGGCGAAAGCCUGAUCCAGCAAUGCCGCGUGCAGGAUGAAGGCCUUCGGGUUGUAAACUGCUUUUGUACGGAACGAAAAAGCUCCUUCUAAUACAGGGGGCCCAUGACGGUACCGUAAGAAUAAGCACCGGCUAACUACGUGCCAGCCGCCGCCGUAACAC